UACGUAGGGUGCGAGCGUUAUCCGGAAUUACUGGGCGUAAAGCGUGCGCAGGCGGUUUGUUAAGUCUGAUGUGAAAGCCCCGGGCUCAACAUGGGAACUGCAUUGGAAACUGGCAAGCUCGAGUAUGGCAGAGGGGGGUGGAAUUCCGCGUGUAGCAGUGAAAUGCGUAGAGAUGCGGAGGAACACCGAUGGCGAAGGCAGCCCCCUGGGCCAAUACUGACGCUCAGGCACGAAAGCGUGGGGAGCAAACAGG
rnacentral:rRNA from 1 species